rnacentral:rRNA from 1 species
AUUAAACGCUGGCGGAAUGCUUUACACAUGCAAGUCGAACGGCAGCACGGACUUCGGUCUGGUGGCGAGUGGCGAACGGGUGAGUAAUACAUCGGAACGUGCCCAGUCGUGGGGGAUAACGUAGCGAAAGCUACGCUAAUACCGCAUACGAUCUAAGGAUGAAAGCGGGGGAUCGCAAGACCCCGCGCGAUUGGAGCGGCCGAUGGCAGAUUAGGUAGUUGGUAGGGUAAAGGCCUACCAAGCCGACGAUCUGUAGCUGGUCUGAGAGGAUGAUCAGCCACACUGGGACUGAGACACGGCCCAGACUCCUACGGGAGGCAGCAGUGGGGAAUUUUGGACAAUGGGCGCAAGCCUGAUCCAGCCAUUCCGCGUGCAGGAUGAAGGCCUUCGGGUUGUAAACUGCUUUUGUACAGAACGAAAAGGCUCUGGUUAAUACCCGGGGCUCAUGACGGUACUGUAAGAAUAAGCACCGGCUAACUACGUGCCAGCCGCCGCCGUAA